ACGAGAAUCUGCGGAAAGAGGAUUCGUCCAAUUGAAGCAGAGGACAGUGGCGGACGGGUGAGUAACGCGUGAGGAACCUGCCUUUCAGAGGGGGACAACAGUUGGAAACGACUGCUAAUACCGCAUGACAUAUAGAUGUCGCAUGGCAUUUAUAUCAAAGAUUUAUCGCUGAAAGAUGGCCUCGCGUCUGAUUAGCUAGUUGGUGAGGUAACGGCCCACCAAGGCGACGAUCAGUAGCCGGACUGAGAGGUUGAACGGCCACAUUGGGACUGAGAUACGGCCCAGACUCCUACGGGAGGCAGCAGUGGGGAAUAUUGGGCAAUGGGCGCAAGCCUGACCCAGCAACGCCGCGUGAAGGAAGAAGACUUUCGGGUUGUAAACUUCUUUUGUCAGGGACGAGUAGAAGACGGUACCUGACGAAUAAGCCACGGCUAACUACGUGCCAGCAGCCGCGGUAAUACGUAGGUGGCAAGCGUUGUCCGGAUUUACUGGGUGUAAAGGGCGUGUAGCCGGGAGGGCAAGUCAGAUGUGAAAUCCACGGGCUCAACUCGUGAACUGCAUUUGAAACUACUCUUCUUGAGUAUCGGAGAGGCAAUCGGAAUUCCUAGUGUA
rnacentral:rRNA from 1 species